rnacentral:rRNA from 1 species
GACGAACGCGGCGGCGUGCCUAAUACAUGCAAGUAGAACGCUGAAGGAGGAGCUUGCUUCUCCGGAUGAGUUGCGAACGGGUGAGUAACGCGUAGGUAACCUGCCUGGUAGCGGGGGAUAACUAUUGGAAACGAUAGCUAAUACCGCAUAACAGUAGAUGUUGCAUGACAUUUACUUAAAAGGUGCAAUUGCAUCACUACCAGAUGGACCUGCGUUGUAUUAGCUAGUUGGUGGGGUAACGGCUCACCAAGGCGACGAUACAUAGCCGACCUGAGAGGGUGAUCGGCCACACUGGGACUGAGACACGGCCCAGACUCCUACGGGAGGCAGCAGUAGGGAAUCUUCGGCAAUGGACGGAAGUCUGACCGAGCAACGCCGCGUGAGUGAAGAAGGUUUUCGGAUCGUAAAGCUCUGUUGUAAGAGAAGAACGAGUGUGAGAGUGGAAAGUUCACACUGUGACGG